GUGCAAAAUCAAAUGAGAGAGCCCAGUGAUGAACUAUUUUGAGUCUGAGACCAGAGGCGCUGAUUGUGCCUCGUACUACUGCGAUUUCCUUGUUUCUGUGGUGUGCUUUGGAAACUACUGCUUGCUUCUGUGGUGUGCUUUGGAAAUCCAACCAUUGUCAUUUCAUUUAGAGUAAGUAUGUGGUGGAGACUAGCAUGAGUGUUCGGCUUUCUGCUGUAAUUGGAAGCCGGUUUGACCUUAUUUUUCUCUGUAGUUAAAUGUUUUUUUUUUUUUUUUUCAUUUAUACCUUUAGUCUACCAGGAACUCAUUUUAUAUGUAGCAGAAGACUAUUGUUCAUUUUUAUUUUUUAGAUAGAAAGCCAAAAUUUCCAACAUGAUGAGUAUUUUGUCCUUGGCCUUUAGAGAGGUAAAUUGAUCGCUGUCACCCCAUAUAUUUUAGAUUUUCUGUUAAUGGCAUACCAUUUUUUUUCGGGGUGGUGGUGGUGGUGGUGGUGGUUUCGAGGCAGGGUUUCUCUGUGGCUUUGGAGGCUGUCCUGGAACUAGCUCUUGUAGACCAGGCUGGUCUCAAACUCACAGAGAUCCACCUGCCUCUGCCUCCUGAGUGCUGGGAUUAAAGGCGUGCGCCACCACCACCUAGCAUGGUGUACCAUUUUAAUUGCUAAAAUAAUUAUGAUAGUUUGGCAUCUGCUAGUCAUUGCUUCUUUUCUCUCUUUAGAAUUGUCUUGGCUCUUCUUAGGACUUGACUUUUCUAAAUUCAUGAACUUAAGAAUCAGCUUGGUAAUUUUUACUGUCAUUGGGGUUGGAAUCAUAUUAAUAUUAUCAGGAAAAUACAUCUUCAUUCAGUCUGCCAUCCACGAAUGAGAAAGGCAAGUUUCAUCCAUCCUUACUUUCUACUGCGGGGUAACCUGGGGCUCAGCAGCUGUUCUUGGCUGGACAUUGGAAGUACCUCAAACUUUCCAUCAAAGAACAGAUUCUUCCUCAUUCCCACUCUGAGAAGAUCUCACCGGGUCGGAGAACCAGUCCUUAUAUCUGGGAAAGGAAACCCAACCUCUCAACAUCUAGCAUUUCUCACCUCUAGAACAGCAUGGGUUUACUCAAGGUUUGAAGUAGCUUUAUUGAAACCUACUUGACAUGUAAGAAUCUGUGCAUUUCCAGUGUUUGAUUCGGUGAGUAUUGGUGUGCAUGCAUCUGUGAGACUGUCACCCAACCACGGUGGAUAUACCUAUCCCCAUCCAAGGUUUCUGGAACUUGGAUUUGGUUCUUUCCUUCCACUCUUCUAUUCCCUCUCAUCCUCACUAUUUCCAGGCAAUUCCUAUCAGCUGUGUGACACUUCAGGUUCUCUGGCAUUUCCUAGUAUUAUAUGGAAAUAAAAUUAUAUAUUUUGUAUUCUUUGUUUGCUUU
rnacentral:lncRNA from 1 species